UUGGACUUAUUAAGUAAAACCGAACAUGCCUGUCAAAUUUGAACGAAAACGGACAUCCAGAAGGGCUCCGGCGAAAAAUAAACUGCUCGAAGUGAAUAGUGCAUAGUUGAGGGGCAAAAUGGUAAAAAGGGACUUAAACCCUUUUAUCCUCCUUCCUCCCCAACCGUGGCUGCCCCAAACCGACACACACACACAUCCACACACGCAUGGAUAGGAGAAGAGAACCCUCUCUUUCUCUCUCUAGAUUUCUCCCAAAAAAAGAGAGAAAUUGGUGGAGAAGUAAGCUUAAAGAUGGAUUUUCAUCUUCAUCAUCAACUUCCUCUCCAUUGGAGCUAUUUUGAGAGGUAACGAAACGCGUUGGCGAAGACGGUUCGGCAAUCCGACGAGCCGUUGCGAAGUUAUUAAAGAAACGGACGUUUAGGCUUCGGGUCCGCCGGGAGGGCCGAGGCGACGUCGUAAAAUCAUGGAAAUGGAUUUGAGGCAUCGUGUUAGCGUGGCGAAGAGCUUCUACACUUGAAACAGCAAAGCGGCGCGCUCUUGGACCGCAAUUGUGAGAUCGGGCCAAACCGGGUGCCGGGUGCCGCGGGCGGCCGAUUGCAAGUGUCGACAAGCAAUCGGAACGUGUGUUAAGGUUCGUACGUGAGCGGCGCGGCGGCGCGAGGAAAGGGCGUAGCUCCGUAGAUAG